AUUCUCUCAGCCCUGCACCAUUAGCCUUCCAUGUGCCACAGUCAUGUUUUCAUCUGCUAAGCAAUUCUCUCAAAAAGUAAACAGUCAUUAAAACGACUGGACAGACGACAUAGGGGAGAUGUAUCUACCGUUCUACCGAGGACAGAUGCUUGCUACCCUGCUUGUGCACCAUGGAAUCCAUCCGCGACAUGGAAAGAUCCUUGACUGGUAGAUCAAGUGUCUUAUUGUAUUUCCUUAAUUCAUUCUGUCUGGAAGAAGAUGUCAGCUGUAUAGCAGUGAGGGGAAAAUGUGAAAGCCUCGAAUCCCCACCAAUAAAGGCCAAGGAACGAAGUUUUGAAUAGAUUUGCCAAGGCAACCUACUAUUCCAAGCCCAGGGAGAGCAGCAUGGAGAUAAAGGGACGGUUGCUGUAUGAGAUGAAGCAGUAUUGUAGGCAAAGGACCACUGUUAAGCUACUGGACGCUACUCCAAUGCUACUGGAAUAUUAUGUACAAUAAUUAUAUAAAAGGCGCUCACCAAGAAUCCGUAUACCAGUCUACAAAAACUUACACACCUGGCUAAAACAGUGACUUACAUGGCAAGAGAACAUGGUAACAUCUGAAGUUAGGUAACAGUCUACAAUGAAUGCUGAAUAUCUUGU